GAGAUCGUGCACAUCCAGGCCGGCCAGUGCGGCAACCAGAUAGGGGCCAAGUUCUGGGAGGUUAUCAGCGAUGAGCACGGCAUAGACCCCAGCAGCAACUAUGUAGGGGACUCAGACCUGCAGCUGGAGCGCAUCAGCGUGUACUACAAUGAGACCUCCUCUCACAAGUAUGUGCCCAGGGCCAUUCUGGUGUACUUGGAACCUGGAACCAUGGACAGUGUUCAGUCUGGCGCCUUUGGACACCUAUUCAGGCCCGACAACUUUAUCUUUGGUCAGAGUGGUGCUGGCAACAACUGGGCCAAAGGGCACUAUAGGCACUAUACUGAGGGCGCAGAGCUGGUGGACUCAGUCCUAGAUGUCGUGCGGAAAGAGUGUGAGAAUUGUGACUGCCUGCAGGGCUUCCAGCUGACACACUCACUGGGUGGGGGCACAGGCUCGGGCAUGGGCACACUGCUCAUCAGCAAGGUGCGUUAGGAGUAUGCCGACCGCAUCAUGAACACCUUCAGUGUGGUGCCCUCACCCAAAGUGUCGGACACUGUGGUGGAGCCCUACAACGCCACCCUGUCCAUCCACCAGCUAGUGGAGAACAUGGAUGAGACCUACUGCAUCGACAAUGAAGCCCUCUACAUCUGCUUCUGUACCUUCAAGCUGGCCACACCCACCUAUGGGGACCUCAACCACCUUGUGUCUGUCACCAUGAGCAGAGUCACCACCUCCCUUCGAUUCCCUGGUCAGCUCAAUGCCGACCUCUGCAAGCUGGCUGUGAACAUGGUGCUGUUCCCACGUCUCCACUUCUUCAUGCCUGGCUUCGCCCCACUUACAGCCCGGGGCAGCCAGCAGUACGGUGCCCUGACAGUGCCUGAGCACACACAGCAGAUGUUCGAUGCCAAGAACAUAAUGGCUGCCUGUGACCCGCGCCACGGCCGUGGACACUGUCUUCCGUGGGCGCAUGUUUAUGAAGGAGGUGGACGAGCAGAUGCUGGCCUCCAGAGUAAGAACAGCAGCUACUUCGUGGAGUGGAUCCCCAACAACGUCAAGGUAGCCGUGUGUGACAUCCCAACCCGUGGGCUCAAGAUGUCAUCCACCUUCAUUGGCAACAGCACGGUCAUCCAGGAGCUGUUCAAAUGCAUUUCCGAGCAGUUCACAGCCAUGUUCUGGUGCAAGGCCUUCCUGCACUGGUCCACGGAUGAGGGCAUGGAUGAGAUGGAGUUCACCGAGGCUGAGAGCAACAUGAAUGACCUGGUGUUCGAGUACCAGCAGUACCAGGACGCCACUGCGGAGGAGGAGGGGGAGAUGUAUGAAGAUGAUGACAAGGAAUCAGAAGCCCAGGGACCCAAGUGAAGUUGCUCACAGCUGGGG